rnacentral:rRNA from 1 species
UACGUAGGCAGCGAGCGUUGUUCGGAAUUACUGGGCGUAAAGAGUGUGUAGGCGGUGCUCUAAGUUCGGUGUGAAAUCUCCCGGCUUAACUGGGAGGGUGCGCCGGAAACUGGAGUGCUCGAGCGUGGGAGAGGAAAGCGGAAUUCCUGGUGUAGCGGUGAAAUGCGUAGAUAUCAGGAGGAACGCCUGCGGUGUAGACGGCUUUCUGGACCAUUGCUGACGCUGAGACACGAAAGCGUGGGUAGCAAACAGG